UUGGUAUAUUGUUUUGCCCUUCAAUAGCCGAAGCUAGAGAAGUUUAUUGGCGGCUUUAUUUCAAGGGUGCCUUUGUCGUUGAACCGAAGUUCGUUGACGCCAGCGGGUUAAAAUAAGAAAGCAACAGGAUGUGUGCUAACCAGUUAUAGCACUAAGGCCGUCUGGGGCAUCCAUCACAGUUGGUAGUUCCACGGGUCAACAUCGAUCCCAAGCCGAAGCCUGAAGAUCUCCGUUUUAAGUUGGGUGUGGUAAUGAUCCUUCCGCAGGUUCACCUACGGAAA
rnacentral:misc_RNA from 1 species